UGUUUGAUCCUGCGAGAGAUUUCUGCUAGAGGAGUUAGAUUAAGCCAUGAAAGUAUGUUAGCAAUAACUGCAGAAGGCUGAGUAACACGUCAUUAAUCUGUCUUAUUUUCUCUAAUAAUCUUGGGAAACUGAGUGUAAAGGAGAUAGGUAUUAAAGAUUGGAAUAUUUUAAUAUUGAAGAUAAGGGGAGAUGGCGACUGAUUAGAUUGAUGGUGAGGUAAUGGCUCACCAUGUCUAUAAUCAGUAGGGGUUGUGGGAGCAAUAACCUCCAGAAGGACACUGAGACAAGGGUCCUAGCUCUAAGGAGUGCAGCAGGUGCGAAAACUCUACAAUGCACGAAAGUGUGAUAGGGUAACUCCUUGUACCUAUCCAAAAGAUAGGUUUUUAUUAAGAUUAGUAAAUUUAAUGAAUAAGUGAUGGGCAAGACUGGUGCCAGCAGCCGCGGUUAUACCAGCGUCACAAGUGGAAAUCAUUAUUAUUGGGUCUAAAGUGUUCGUAGCUGGUUUUUUAAGUUUUUUGUCAAAUUUUCAGUUUCAAACUGAAAUUUGCAAAAAAUACUAAGAAACUUGAAAUCGGAAGAGGUGUAAAGUAUUGAAAGGGUAGCGGUAGAAUGUUAUAAUCCUUUUAGGACUAACUAUGGCGAAGGCAUUACACUGGGACGAAUUUGACAGUCAGGAACGAAAGUUAGGGGAGCAAACCGGAUUAGAUACCCGGGUAGUCCUAACUGUAAACACUGUGGGUUAAGUUUUACCAAUUCUAUGAGAUUUGGUAGAAUUGUAGCGAAGGCGUUAAACCUACCACCUGGGAAGUACAGCCGCAAGGCCGAAACUUAAAGGAAUUGCCGGGGGAGUACUACAAGCGGUGCGGCGUGCUGUUUAAUUUAACUACACACAGAGAAACUCACCAAGAGCGACAGCACAAUGAAGGUCAGAUUAAAGGUCUUACCUGAGGCGCUGAGAGGUGUUGCAUGGCCGCCGUCAGCUCGUGCUGUAAAGUGUCCUCUUAAGUGAGGAAACGAGCAAGACCUAUACCUAUAAUUACUAAUUGGAUUAGCCAAUGUACUUUAUAGGGACUGCCUUGGAAACAAGGAGGAAGGUGUAGGCAACGGUAGGUCUGUAUUGCCCGAAUCUCUUGGGCUACAAGCGCGCAACAAUGGCAAGUACAAUGAGAUGCAACUCCGAGAGGAGAAGCCAAUCUUUAAAACUUGUCUUAGUUUAGAUUGAGGUUUGUAACUCAACCUCAUGACAUCGGAAUCGCUAGUAAUCAGAUGUUAUCAGCAUCUGGUGAAUAUGUCCAUUCUCCUUGGACACACUGCCCGUCAAACCAACCAAGCGGGAU
rnacentral:rRNA from 1 species